CGCUCCACCUACAGCUCUUGCUUCCUGUCAGUGUGUAAAUGUCCAGAGUUUGUCUAUGUAUGGAGACGGGAGUUUAACCUUUGUACCACCCUGCGAGGAUACUCCAGACUAAGAAAAAAACAAGAAAAUUGGAAGAAGCCAGUGGAAACAGUAUACAAUGUGGUGUGUUUUAAGCAAAUCAUGACAAAAACUAAAUGUUUUGUCAAUACUGGUAUAGAAGAAUGUGUUACUUUCAUUUGACUCUCAAGAAGAUUUGGAGACAUCAAAUGAUCCAGUUGCACUGAUUGUCUACCCUCUCCCCCCGUUUGAUAUUAGUUGGAAAAUUAAUCUUGCCUCUUGCUUCAGUGGAUGACAGCAUUAAUUCAAAAGUGAAUUGUUUUCAAUGUGCAUGGAGAUAUGGAAACAUGAUGGCAUCAGAGAAUCAGAGGCUUAUGCAUAAUAAUAAGACAUGUUUAAAUCUCCCUGAAGCAGAAUUUGAGUCCCCAUAGACUGAGGUGUGGUAUCUGAAACAGGUUAUAAAGGAUGUCACAGAAGGAGAUGGUUUGGUACAGACAUGUACAUAUCAUCUAAUAUGAGGAGCAGCACAAUCUCU